rnacentral:rRNA from 1 species
CUGGCUCAGAUUGAACGCUGGCGGCAGGCCUAACACAUGCAAGUCGAGCGGCAGCGGAAAGUAGCUUGCUACUUUGCCGGCGAGCGGCGGACGGGUGAGUAAUGUCUGGGAAACUGCCUGAUGGAGGGGGAUAACUACUGGAAACGGUAGCUAAUACCGCAUAACGUCGCAAGACCAAAGAGGGGGACCUUCGGGCCUCUUGCCAUCAGAUGUGCCCAGAUGGGAUUAGCUAGUAGGUGGGGUAACGGCUCACCUAGGCGACGAUCCCUAGCUGGUCUGAGAGGAUGACCAGCCACACUGGAACUGAGACACGGUCCAGACUCCUACGGGAGGCAGCAGUGGGGAAUAUUGCACAAUGGGCGCAAGCCUGAUGCAGCCAUGCCGCGUGUAUGAAGAAGGCCUUCGGGUUGUAAAGUACUUUCAGCGGGGAGGAAGGCGUUGAGGUUAAUAACCUCAGCGAUUGACGUUACCCGCAGAAGAAGCACCGGCUAACUCCGUGCCAGCAGCCGCGGUAAUACGGAGGGUGCAAGCGUUAAUCGGAAUUACUGGGCGUAAAGCGCACGCAGGCGGUCUGUCAAGUCGGAUGUGAAAUCCCCGGGCUCAACCUGGGAACUGCAUUCGAAACUGGCAGGCUAGAGUCUUGUAGAGGGGGGUAGAAUUCCAGGUGUAGCGGUGAAAUGCGUAGAGAUCUGGAGGAAUACCGGUGGCGAAGGCGGCCCCCUGGACAAAGA